rnacentral:rRNA from 1 species
GAGUUUGAUCAUGGCUCAGAUUGAACGCUGGCGGCAUGCCUUACACAUGCAAGUCGAACGGCAGCACGGGGGCAACCCUGGUGGCGAGUGGCGAACGGGUGAGUAAUGCAUCGGAACGUGCCCAGUAGUGGGGGAUAACUAGUCGAAAGAUUAGCUAAUACCGCAUACGACCUAAGGGUGAAAGCGGGGGAUUCGCAAGAACCUCGCGCUAUCGGAGCGGCCGAUGUCUGAUUAGCUAGUUGGCGGGGUAAAAGCCCACCAAGGCAACGAUCAGUAGCUGGUCUGAGAGGACGACCAGCCACACUGGGACUGAGACACGGCCCAGACUCCUACGGGAGGCAGCAGUGGGGAAUUUUGGACAAUGGGCGCAAGCCUGAUCCAGCCAUGCCGCGUGCGGGAAGAAGGCCUUCGGGUUGUAAACCGCUCUUGGCAGGAACGAAACGGCGCGAGCGAAUAUCUCGCGUUAAUGACGGUACCUGCAGAAUAAGCACCGGCUAACUACGUGCCAGCAGCCGCGGUAAUACGUAGGGUGCAAGCGUUAAUCGGAAUUACUGGGCGUAAAGCGUACGCAGGCGGCUUUGCAAGACAGGUGUGAAAUCCCCGGGCCUAACCUGGGAACUGCAUUUGUGACUGCAUGGCUAGAGUUUGUCAGAGGGGGGUGGAAUUCCACGUGUAGCAGUGAAAUGCGUAGAUAUGUGGAGGAACACCGAUGGCGAAGGCAGCCCCCUGGGAUGUGACUGACGCUCAUGUACGAAAGCGUGGGGAGCA